rnacentral:lncRNA from 1 species
UGAUACCGUACUUACCAAUAAAUUAUACAUGUUUUUUGUUUUUCUGUUACGUUUUAGAGCCCACCGCUACCAGAUUCCUGGUUGUAAACAGUUGCGAUUCAGAGUCUACUGCCAGUGAUAAAUGUUCAAACAAGGGUGACUACUAUUAGUGCAGUAUAUGCCAAAAAAAGUUCUUAUUCAACUUGCUGUAUCUGCGGUAUCUGUAAAUGGAUUCAAAAAGGAACUAGAUUGAGCAAUAAUCAUUGAAGUUUAUUUCACAACUAAUGGAAGUGGUAAUGAAUUUAGAUAUUAUGGUGAAAUGAUGAUUUGAAAUAAAGGAUUCUAACUACAAUCAGCAAAGCAGACAACAUAAAUAUUAUUUAUUUACAUUUUUAUUAAUUGUUUAAAUAUUAGGCAUCUUACAUAUUGCUUUUCUCCAG